UGAGGAAUAUUGGGUCAAUGGGCGAGAGCCUGAACCAGCCAAGUAGCGUGCAGGAUGACGGCCCUAUGGGUUGUAAACUGCUUUUAUAAGGGAAUAAAGUGAGAGUCGUGACUCUUUUUGUAUGUACCUUAUGAAUAAGGACCGGCUAAUUCCGUGCCAGCAGCCGCGGUAAUACGGAAGGUCCGGGCGUUAUCCGGAUUUAUUGGGUUUAAAGGGAGCGUAGGCCGGAGAUUAAGCGUGUUGUGAAAUGUAGACGCUCAACGUCUGCACUGCAGCGCGAACUGGUUUCCUUGAGUACGCACAAAGUGGGCGGAAUUCGUGGUGUAGCGGUGAAAUGCUUAGAUAUCACGAAGAACUCCGAUUGCGAAGGCAGCUCACUGGAGCGCAACUGACGCUGAAGCUCGAAAGUGCGGGUAUCGAACAGGAUUAGAUACCCUGGUAGU
rnacentral:rRNA from 1 species